rnacentral:lncRNA from 1 species
CUUUUUAGCAGGGGCCUUACGGGUGCGCGCUUCGGUCCUGGAGACCUUAUCCUAGCCUCCUCUCCAUCAGCGCCACCCGUCUGCGGCCCGAAAGGAGGGAGCUUUCCCUCUGUCCCCCAGCCUUUGGACUGUCACCAAACAAGCCAUUCGUUCACCAAAUAGUUAUUAAGCGCCUACCAUGUGCCUGACAACGGAGAUGUAACGAAAUUGCCUGUCUGUUCCACUCUGGUUGAAGAAACCAGUCCGACUGUCUCUGAGGCUAUGGAGCUGUCCAUCAAGAAUGAAAGCCCUCUGCCAGGCACGUUGGCUCACACCUGUAAUACCAGCACUUUGGGAGGCCGAGGCAGGUGGAUCACUUCAAGUCAGGAGUUCAACACCAGCAUGGCCAACAUGGUGAAACCCUGUCUCUACAAAAAAUUGAAAAAUUAGCUGGGCCUCAGAAGCUCUGCUAUCCACAAGCAGGUAGAAGUUGCUGGUCCCAUCUUGCCCACAAUCCUCCAAAAUUUGGAAGUUACUUUCCAGGAGACUUAGCUUGCACUGAGAGCUGCCCUCCCAACCCCUCUCCAAAUUUCCUCUUGGG